CGUUUAUUUGAUAGUACCUUACUACUUGGAUAACCGUGGUAAUUCUAGAGCUAAUACAUGCUAAAACCCCGACUUCGGGAGGGUGUAUUUAUUAGAUAAAAAACCAAUGCCCUUCGGGGCUCUUUGGUGAUUCAUGAUAACUUAACGGAUCGCAUGGCCUUGCGCCGGCGACGGUUCAUUCAAAUUUCUGCCCUAUCAACUUUCGAUGGUAAGGUAUUGGCUUACCAUGGUUUCAACGGGUAACGGGGAAUUAGGGUUCGAUUCCGGAGAGGGAGCCUGAGAAACGGCUACCACAUCCAAGGAAGGCAGCAGGCGCGCAAAUUACCCAAUCCCGACUCGGGGAGGUAGUGACAAUAAAUACUGAUACAGGGCUCUUUUGGGUCUUGUAAUCGGAAUGAGUACAAUUUAAACCCCUUAACGAGGAACAAUUGGAGGGCAAGUCUGGUGCCAGCAGCCGCGGUAAUUCCAGCUCCAAUAGCGUAUAUUAAAGUUGUUGCAGUUAAAAAGCUCGUAGUUGAACCUUGGGCCUGGCUGGCCGGUCCGCCUCACCGCGUGUACUGGUCCGGCCGGGCCUUUCCUUCUGGAGAGCCGCAUGCCCUUCACUGGGUGUGUUGGGGAACCAGGACUUUUACUUUGAAAAAAUUAGAGUGUUCAAAGCAGGCCUUUGCUCGAAUACGUUAGCAUGGAAUAAUAGAAUAGGACGUGCGGUCCUAUUUUGUUGGUUUCUAGGACCGCCGUAAUGAUUAAUAGGGAUAGUCGGGGGCAUCAGUAUUCAAUUGUCAGAGGUGAAAUUCUUGGAUUUAUUGAAGACUAACUACUGCGAAAGCAUUUGCCAAGGAUGUUUUCAUUAAUCAGUGAACGAAAGUUAGGGGAUCGAAGACGAUCAGAUACCGUCGUAGUCUUAACCGUAAACUAUGCCGACUAGGGAUCGGGCGAUGUUUCUAUCUUGACUCGCUCGGCACCUUACGAGAAAUCAAAGUUUUUGGGUCUGGGGGAGUA
rnacentral:rRNA from 2 species